rnacentral:rRNA from 1 species
GAUGAACGCUGGCGGCGUGCUUAACACAUGCAAGUCGAACGGAAAGGCUCCUGCUUGCAGGGGUACUCGAGUGGCGAACGGGUGAGUAACACGUGGGGGAUCUGCCCUGCACUUCGGGAUAAGCCUGGGAAACUGGGUCUAAUACCGGAUAGGACGAUGGUUUGGAUGCCAUUGUGGAAAGUUUUUUCGGUGUGGGAUGAGCUCGCGGCCUAUCAGCUUGUUGGUGGGGUAAUGGUCUACCAAGGCGUCGACGGGUAGCCGGCCUGAGAGGGUGUACGGCCACAUUGGGCCUGAGGGACGGCCCAGACUCCUACGGGAGGCAGCAGUGGGGAAUAUUGCACAAUGGGCGCACGCCUGAUGCAGCGACGCCGCGUGGGGGAUGACGGCCUUCGGGUUGUAAACUCCUUUCGCUGGGGACGAAGCGCAAGUGACGGUACCUGGAGAAGAAGCACCGGCUAACUACGUG